UGGGGAAUUUUGGACAAUGGGCGAAAGCCUGAUCCAGCAAUGCCGCGUGAGUGAAGAAGGCCUUCGGGUUGUAAAGCUCUUUUGUCAGGGAAGAAACGGUGAGGGCUAAUAUCCCUUGCUAAUGACGGUACCUGAAGAAUAAGCACCGGCUAACUACGUGCCAGCAGCCGCGGUAAUACGUAGGGUGCAAGCGUUAACCGGAAUUACUGGGCGUAAAGCGUGCGCAGGCGGUUUUGUAAGUCUGAUGUGAAAUCCCCGGGCUCAACCUGGGAAUUGCAUUGGAGACUGCAAGGCUAGAAUCUGGCAGAGGGGGGUAGAAUUCCACGUGUAGCAGUGAAAUGCGUAGAUAUGUGGAGGAACACCGAUGGCGAAGGCAGCCCCCUGGGUCAAGAUUGACGCUCAUGCACGAAAGCGUGGGGAGCAAACA
rnacentral:rRNA from 1 species